GAAACAAACUCAAAAUCUUGGAUGGCCUGAGGGGCUUUAUGAUGGAAAACCGCAUUCCAUCUCUGAAGUGUGACUCCGACGUCUUUGUCACAUUUGUGGGAGACAACAUGGCCAUGCUUCAGGAUUAUGACAUUAAUUGAUGGACUGGAGUGG